rnacentral:tRNA from 1 species
GCCCCUGUGGCCUAAUGGAUAAGGCACCGGUCUCCUAAACCGGGGAUUGUGGGUUCGAGUCCCACCAGGGGUA